AUGCAGACAUGGGGAGAACAUGAAACAGGCCUGGGCAACCGGGGUUUGAACCCACAACCUUCUUGCUGUGAGGCGACAGUGCUAACCACCGCACCACCGUGCCACCCAUUUUAUGUUAUAUAUAUGAUUAUUAUUACCAAGCUACCAAGACUAUGCACAUUUUACCUUCAGACAGAGCCAGCUGUUUCUAUUCUAGUCUUUAUGCUAGGCUAUACUAAGCGUCUCCCGUCUCCAGUUUCAGUAUUGAAUGAACAGAUAUAUGACAGUGGUAUUGAUCUUUCUAUGCAAGAAAGCAAAUAAACAUAUUUCCAAAAUACUGAACUUGAAAUUUUCUUUUUUUUCCCCCUUUAAUUGUCCCCUCACUCACAGAAUAGUCACAGAAACUCAGUUAGUUCAACGUGAUGUACGACAUUUCAGAUAUCUGUGUGCACAUUUACAAGUAUUUUCUGUUUCUCCACAGUAACAAUCAUAUUCUGCCGCAGUUGCCACGGUAAGUAAAUGUUUUAUUCCCUAAUCAUCAGCACAAGAUGUAAGGCCUAUUCUGUUCAUAGGUUUUGCUCUACACUCUGCUGGCAUUAACUCGCAGUUAUAUAAUUCUGAACCAAGUUAUAUUUAACAACAAUAGUCGUCUCAGAUGUGGUUCCAAAGGAUAGAUUUUAAAAAUCGAAUUAAAGGGGGUCCAUGGUCUAAUGCGGAGAUAUUUUAUUUGGCAGGGGGUGAGCUGGGGGUGGAGGUGAAGAAUCUUUGAUAUGAAAAGGCUUGAGAACCCCUACACACAGUGUGCUCAUUGUAGAAGCACUCCUUGAGUUCUGAUUUGUAACAUAAAAGCUGGUGUCUCUGUUUUCUCUGCGUUAUAAAGUGAGUGUUUACACCUGAGUGUCACAGCGCAGCAGACAUGUUGGCCACUGUCUGUUUCAGUGCCAGCUGCCACCUGCAGCACCAGCCUCUCAGCUUCCUUUGCCCAGCCACACUACUGUUUAUGUCUGGGCUGCAGCCCUCAGUAGUGUCCAGCAGCAGCAAAACAUGUUUUUCUCUCUAGUCUCCGAAAACUGGGCAGACGACGUCCCCACAGACAGACUGCAGAUUAUUAUCUAAGUCAACCUGAAGAUGUUAUUAUUUCUGAGGGUAAGGUGGAGCAGACUUUAGGGAUGGGCGGGAUUUCUACCACACUGUGCGCAAACUAGAAUUUAAAAAGGGUAAUUUUCUUGUGACAUAAAGAUCAAUUCUCACAUUAAAGGUGUUUUUUCUAUUAAUCCAAAAUUCACUACGUUAAUGCUGACUGUUAUUCACAAUACUAUAUAAGGCGGAAGGAAUUUUUCUUCUAAUAAAUUCUUCCUCUGUGGUACAUUUUAAAGAUGAACCUUAGAGAUUUAAGAGCAUUGAAUUUAUAACCACUGUCUGGAAAUCAACAACAACUAACGUAAGGCAGGAUUUACACAAGUCAAAUAUCUGUGUGUGCACAGUUAGGUUCAGGUACAUUACCACCAGCUGUAGAAACAAGUUGAUUGUUCUCCCUUAAGAAAAACUUGGGAUUUAGAUAAGAUUAAAGACAAAGUCCAUUUCAUGUUUAGUUGCUCAUCAUAUCAUGAUUUAAGGGCAACACCUUUUAGUAAUCUCAUGAGUUCUUCUGGUUGGACAAUUAUAAAAAAUACUUGUCAAUGUGGACUGGCACUUAAAUUACAUGUGCACAACAUUAUAAAUUACUAUAUAAAUAAACAACAUAACAAGGGGAGAGACAGUUUUCCAAAAGUUGAUGUAACUAGAAUGUAGUUAUGACAAUAAAAAACAAAUUAAUGUUCACUAUGACACCACAUUUUAACUGUACAGAAAUGAAGUGAAAUCAAAAUCUGCACAUCAGUUACAAAUUAAAGGAAUAAUUUGACAUUUGGGGAAAUAGUUUUAUUGCUGAGUUUAGAUUAAAAUAUAAACACCACUCUGUUCAACUUUUAAUGAGCUGUGUAAUGUUAUCAAGAUGGACGACUGUACAAAGACUUGUUUUGUUGUCUCGAUAAGUGUGUGCCUAAAAUAACUCUGAAUGUGUCCUUAAAGCACCCAUGAGAUGAUAUAUUUCCUUAUGACCAAGAUGUAGAUGAGAAGAUACCACUCUUGUGUCUGUGCAGUAAAUAUGAAGCUACAACAAACAACCAGUUAAACUAUUGGGAGCAGUUGCCAAGCAAGGUGCUGCUCUGACCACGGUGACCUCGCUUUGGAAGUUGCCGUCCUGCGGUUCGGCUAGCAGCUUAUUGAGGGGCAAAAUGUCUGAGCCUGGCUGUCAAAAGCACAUCUGGGACGUGAUCUGCCACCCAUCCAUGACUAUUACUCUCUGGUGGACAGUUGUGUUUCUCAACGCUACAGGCAAAUCACUGCAUGUCUCAGAAAAAAAGCCAAAAUGGAGUUUCACUGAAUAUAUCAAUACUUUAUCUCAUGACUUAACUGAAAUGAAACUGUAAGGAUUUUUUUUUUCUGAGUCAGUUUGACACCUGUGGUAAUUAAACGGUUACACAACA